rnacentral:rRNA from 1 species
CUUACCAUGCAGUCGAACGGUGAAACAGGAGCUUGCUCCUGUGGAUCAGUGGCGAACGGGUGAGUAACACGUGAGCAAUCUGCCCCGAACUCUGGGAUAAGCGUUGGAAACGACGUCUAAUACCGGAUACGACGCGCGAAGGCAUCUUCUGCGCGUGGAAAGAACUUCGGUUCGGGAUGAGCUCGCGGCCUAUCAGCUAGUUGGUGAGGUAACGGCCCACCAAGGCGACGACGGGUAGCCGGCCUGAGAGGGUGACCGGCCACACUGGGACUGAGACACGGCCCAGACUCCUACGGGAGGCAGCAGUGGGGAAUAUUGCACAAUGGGCGCAAGCCUGAUGCAGCAACGCCGCGUGAGGGAUGACGGCCUUCGGGUUGUAAACCUCUUUUAGUAGGGAAGAAGCGAAAGUGACGGUACCUGCAGAAAAAGCACCGGCUAACUACGUGCCAGCAGCCGCGGUAAUACGUAGGGUGCAAGCGUUGUCCGGAAUUAUUGGGCGUAAAGAGCUCGUAGGCGGUUUGUCGCGUCUGCUGUGAAAACCCGAGGCUCAACCUCGGGCCUGCAGUGGGUACGGGCAAACUAGAGUGCGGUAGGGGAGAUUGGAAUUCCUGGUGUAGCGGUGGAAUGCGCAGAUAUCAGGAGGAACACCGAUGGCGAAGGCAGAUCUCUGGGCCGUAACUGACGCUGAGGAGCGAAAGCGUGGGGAGCGAACAGGAUUAGAUACCCUGGUAGUCCACGCCGUAAACGUUGGGCGCUAGAUGUGGGGACCAUUCCACGGGUUUCCGUGUCGCAGCUAACGCAUAGC